UUUGUGACCCUGAGGAUUUCUUAAGACCCAAUGUUCCAAGCAAGUAAAAAUAGCGAAAUCAGGCGGAUCGCAAAGUUAAUCAUCUAGAAUAAUUCACUUGUAUACCACAGAGAAGUUGCCACCUUCACACUGAAACCUCUUCAGUUUUCACUCAAUCAGGUCUCGGGGCCACUUUCGUUUCAAUCGUACUGGAGGAUUUUCGCCAAUUAUGUUGAUAGUCACGGCUCGAAGAGACGACAUGAACAGGAUGUUUGGAUUCAAGGAAAAUUACCAAACAAAUCUAAGUACCAAAUAGGCUUGGGAAAGAGAGAAAAGCCCUUCCGUUGAUAACGACACCAUUUGCUGGUACAAGGUACGGGAGGAGCAGGAGUAUUCUGAAACCAGUACUUAGAACCCAUGGGAAAAUACACCAGCUCUUCCAGGCAGACUCCGUGCAAUUGAGAGCUGUCAAAUAGCCAAGAAGGACAUGUGAGAAUAUACGGCAACUUCAAUUCGGUAAUUUCAAGCAAAGACUGCUAUACCGCUGAUAGAUCCCGACCCCUUUGUGGCAUAGGGCGUUAACUAUCGAUGAAUAUCUUAGAAAAAAAGACAAAAUGAAAAUGAAGAAACAGUGGAAUUCACUCAUUGGACAUAAAAAAUCCAAGAACCUUCUAGCAAAUUUUGAAAGGAGAGAAACAACAGAAUUCUUGAAAGGAAGCAGGAAAAAACUUGAAUCAUGACAUGAUUCUUACCAAGACACUGCAGACUGAAUGGGUAUCUGAGGAAGAUUAGUAUAACUCAACACGGCACGUGCAGACACACCCCAAACAUAACAUCUUACAUUUAAUUUGAAUUUAUUUUUAAUUGUAAAAGAAAUUGUAACCUGUUCGUAUCAAAACACAUAUUACAAAUAUGUACGUUAUCCUCAGCGCUACACCCACCCAGAGGACAGGUUUAGGGUAAUCAACCAAAGCUGGUACUCAAUACGAUUGGAUUAAGAAGGGGCGAAGAGGUCUCGAGGUCAUCAUCGUUUAAGAUUUCGCGGCCAUCGUCUCUUCACUCGGUGAGGAUUGGUAGAGGGAAUUCGUCGGGAUACGAGUUUUUGGAUAUGCUGAUUUUCGGAGGUUGGGAGGGUAUCGUGAAAUUUUCCGUAACGGGAACGGAUUUUAUUUGAAGAAAACAUACAAAUUUUUCGUAGGAUUAAGACAGAAUUGGUAAGUUUGAAAACGGCAGAUGGAAUGUUUGGCUGAAUCCCACACUUCCAGUCAGUAAGUUCAUAUCGGCUUGACUUUGGUGUGGUAAAGGAGCAUUUUAUUUUUGAUAGAUAAAUCCGAACGUUUGUCAAGAUGUCGUGCACGAGCUCUGUAUCGUGGCAGAACUUGCUGACGUUUCACUCAUGUGGAAGGAUUCGUCAAGCAUUGGUAGAUGACCAGUCCGAGAUGACCUUGUCUGCAGUUGGGAGAGGAAUAUUACUUAAGUAGAUGUGAGGGGAGAUGGUUUUACCGAGAGCGAAGGUAAUAUAUGUGAAUUUGACUGUGUUAAAUUUUAUUAUUUUCUUUUCACACUAAGACUCUAGUAGUGUGGGAGUUGUUGGAGGUUUCAAGUGGAAAUGACAAGUGAAAUGAUAGAAUUGCUCCACCGUCUGCAAUGUGAAUGAGGUGGUAUGAGGAUGUAAUGGAACGUCAGUUGUGUACACCAGGUAUAGUGUGGGGGCCAGAGCGCUACCCUGAGGAACGCCAACAUGGAUAAGGAAAUAUGCAAAGAGAAAAUUGUCUUCGAUGACUUGGAAAAAUCGGCCAAUGUGAUAACUGCGCAGUUUUAGAUAAUAAGAGGAAGGAAGGACCCCUCAUGCUCAAGAUCAAUCAAUUGGCUACCGUCAAGAAUGGACCCACAGUACUGUACCAUUUUAAGGGAGGAAGACAUAAUGUCUACCACGCGAUGACACUAUUGAAAACUUGAGUGGCAGUUGCGAAAAUCAAAUUGAUACUCAAGGAUUAAAUUAGCAGAAUUUAGGAUUGGAAGAAUUUUUUCAAUAGAAUCUUUUAUAUAUGAAGUAGCAAAUUGUUAAAUUCACUAA
rnacentral:lncRNA from 1 species